GCUCCUGUAUGUAUCUAGCUCCUGUAUGUAUCUAGCUCCUGUAGGUAUCUAGCUCCUGUAGGUAUCUAGCUACUACAGGAUGGGUGACACUGGCCAUCAUGUGAAAUCAUUCUAACUGUGUUUGGGAUCGAUUGGGAUCAUUUGUCAAUAUCAGAUUUGGGGCAAUAUUUGGGUUUUAAAAGGGAAAUGUGA